UACAGAGGUGGCAAGCGUUGUUCGGAAUUACUGGGCGUAAAGGGCGCGUAGGCGGUUUCGUAAGUCCUGUGUGAAAUCCCCCGGCUCAACUGGGGAACUGCACAGGAAACUGCGAGGCUUGAGUUCGGGAGAGGGAAGCGGAAUUCCGGGUGUAGCGGUGAAAUGCGUAGAUAUCCGGAGGAACACCGGUGGCGGAGGCGGCUUCCUGGACCGACACUGACGCUGAGGCGUGAAAGCCAGGGGAGCAAACGGG
rnacentral:rRNA from 1 species